UUCUCAGUAGCUGAGUGGUAGAGCGGUCGGCUGUUAACUGACUGAUCAUGGGUUCAAAUCCUACUUAGGGAG
rnacentral:tRNA from 1 species